rnacentral:lncRNA from 1 species
GUCCGAGAGGUGCAGGAGGGUAGCAAAGGCGAUGGAGGUCGACCUGAAGGGCGCCUAAGACCGAGAGGGAUGUCGGAGGAGGACGAAGCUCUCAGGAAAGAAGAGGAGACCGAAGAAAAAUCUCAAGCAAGGUGAAACCCCUGAUGGAGGGGGACGGGUUUAAAUAGACCUUAGGAUCCGGCGCAAUAAUGAUUGCAGAUCUCCUUUGGCCGACCUACAACUGCCG